CCCUUAGAUGUCCUGGGCCGCACGCGCGUUACACUGAUGCAUUCAACGAGCUUAUAACCUUGGCCGAGAGGCCUGGGCAAUCUUGUUAACGUGCAUCGUGAUAGGGAUAGAUUAUUGAAAUUAUUAAUCUUGAACGAGGAAUUCCUAGUAAACGCUGAUCAUCAAUCUGCAUUGAUUACGUCCCUGCCCUUUGUACACACCGCCCGUCGCACCUACCGAUUGGAUGGUCCGGUGAAGCCUCGGGAUUGUGGUUCUUGCCGCUUUAUUGUAGCGUGACCGCGAGAACUUGUCUAAACCUUAUCAUCUAGAGGAAGGUGAAGUCGUAACA
rnacentral:rRNA from 1 species